UGCAACUCUUCUUUUCAGACACAGCCUAGGCAAACAGAGUGCAGUUUAUCAAUAAAGAACUUUAAUUUCCCCCUUAUCUCGCGGCUUGUACAAACUUGUUGCAUUCAAGUUUGUCUAGUUGGGUUACUUUUUCCCGAGUGCAUUGUGGGAAGCCCUACGUCUGGCUGGCAGCUAUUGAUUUUGUCCCCGCGUUACCAUCUUCCAGGCUUCUCCCCUCUCUGCGCACCCGGCGGAGCCAGUCCCGUCCCGCGCUGCGGAGGCGGAGCCUCAGGGCCCGGCGGGGCGCUGCGGGGUGACCCCUCCGGGCACGGGGGGGUGGGGGUUCCGCCGUGCUUUGGCAGGCGUGCCCGCCGCUGUUCCUUCAGCUCUGUCGGUAUAAAGCUGAGAAGGGGGAGAGCAAACUUCCUGCCCGCUCGCUCCCCCUCCCGCAGCUCCGCACUGCCGCCGUGCACCUGCCCACCGCACAGCUCCACGAGGCGGGGCGGGGGCCGCGCCGAGCACGCAGGCAGGAUAUUGUUCAACCUUCACCCCCGCCCCUCCUCCUCUUCCUCCUCUCUUCCCCCUCCCCGACGUUCUUCUUCCCCCCCCACCCCCUCCCGCCGCCGCAGGCCCCCAUCUGCCGCCUGCGGGCGUUGCGCGGUGCUGCGCGCUGGGCAUUGUGGCUGCGCGGCGCAGUCAGGGCCGCCUCACCCUCACCCAGCUGCCUGCAAAUUCGUGCGCGCCCGGAAGCCGCACGCCCGCUCCCCGCUGCGGCCCCUCCGCUCUGCCCCCCCCCGCCACAACCCCCGGCUUCCCAGCUCCCUUCCCCCACGCCUUCACCGCCGCCUCCUCCUCCUCCUGCUGCUCCUCUGCCACUUUCUCUCUCUCCCUCCCAGGACGCGUCGGAUGAUCCGGGGCCGCCGGGGAAGGGCUCCGGGCAGCAGCAAGGAGGCUGCGUCCUCCUCCUCCUCCCGUUUUGGGGGCUGUGGGAAAAAAAAAAAAAAAAAAAAAAAAAAAAAAAAAAAAAAAAAAAAAAGCCGGUGGUGGCCUCGGUGUUAUUUUGUAUUAAAAUGA
rnacentral:lncRNA from 1 species